rnacentral:tRNA from 1 species
GGCCUGAUGGUCUAGUAGUAUGAUUCCUUGUUAGGGUGUUAUCACUGUUAUCGAGGAGGUCCCGGGUUCAAUUCCCGGUCAGGCCC